UGAGGAAUAUUGGUCAAUGGGCGAGAGCCUGAACCAGCCAAAUCGCGUGAAGGAAGACUGCCUUAUGGGUUGUAAACUUCUUUUAACAGGAAUAAAAAAGGGGACGUGUCCCUUAUUGCAUGUACUGUAUGAAUAAGCAUCGGCUAACUCCGUGCCAGCAGCCGCGGUAAUACGGAGGAUGCGAGCGUUAUCCGGAUUUAUUGGGUUUAAAGGGUGCGCAGGCGGGCUUUUAAGUCAGCGGUGAAAUCUCGGGGCUUAACUCCGAAACUGCCGUUGAAACUGGGAGUCUUGAGUAUGGAUGAAGUAGGCGGAAUUCGUUGUGUAGCGGUGACAUGCUUAGAUAUAACGAGGAACUCCGAUUGCGUAGGCAGCUUACUAAGCCAUAACUGACGCUCAAGCACGAAAGCGUGGGGAUCAAACAGGAUUAGAUACCCUGGUAGUCCACGCCGUAAACGAUGAUUACUAGUUGUAUGCGAUAUACCGUAUGUGACUAAGCGAAAAGCGAUAAAGUAAUCCACCUGGGGGAGUACGCCGGCAACGGUGAAA
rnacentral:rRNA from 1 species